CCUACGUGGGGCAGCAGUGAGGAAUAUUGCUCAAUGGGCGCGAGCCUGACCCAGCGACGCCGCGUGAGGGAUGACUGCCCUACGGGUUGUAACCUUCUUUUAUAAAGGAAUAAAGUGACUCACGUGUGCCUUAUUGUAUGUACUUUACGAACAAGGAUCGGACAACUCCGUGCCAGCAGCCGCGGUAAUACGGAGGAGCCGUGCGUUAGCCGGAUUUAUUGGGUUUAAAGGGAGCGUAGGUGGGAUGUUAAGUCAGGUGUGAAAGGUUGGGGCUCAACCGGAAAAUUGCAAUUGAUACUGGCAGUCUUGAGUGUAGGUGAGGAAGGCGGAAUUCGAGGUGUAGCAGUGAAAUGCUUAGAUAUCACGAGGAACACCGGUUGCGAAGGCAGCUUACUAGAC
rnacentral:rRNA from 1 species